rnacentral:rRNA from 1 species
CCCGCUGAACUUAAGCAUAUCAAUAAGCGGAGGAAAAGAAACUAACAAGGAUUCCCCUAGUAACUGCGAGUGAAGCGGGAAAAGCUCAAAUUUAAAAUCCGGCGAUCUUUGCGGCCGUCCGAGUUGUAAUCUAGAGAAGUGUUAUCCGCGCUGGACCGUGUACAAGUCUCCUGGAACGGAGCGUCAUAGAGGGUGAGAAUCCCGUCUUUGACACGGACUUACCAGGGCUUUAUGUGAUGCGCUCUCGAAGAGUCGAGUUGUUUGGGAAUGCAGCUCAAAAUGGGUGGUAAAUUCCAUCUAAAGCUAAAUAUUGGCGAGAGACCGAUAGCGAACAAGUACCGUGAGGGAAAGAUGAAAAGAACUUUGAAAAGAGAGUUAAACAGUAUGUGAAAUUGUUGAAAGGGAAGCGCUUGCAACCAGACUUGUGUGUGGCGGUUCCCCCGGUCUUCUGACCGGGUUAUUCUGUCAUAACCAGGCCAGCAUCGAUUUAGGUGGCCAGUUAAAGGCUCUGGGAAGGUAUCUACCUUCGGGUCGACUUACAGCCCAGGGUGUAAUGUGGCCUACCUGGAUCGAGGAACGCGCUCUUUGCCCGGAUGUUGGCGUAAUGGUUGCAAGCGGCCCGUCUUGAAACACGG